rnacentral:rRNA from 1 species
GACGAACGCUGGCGGCGUGCUUAACACAUGCAAGUCGAACGGUAAGGCCCUUCGGGGUACACGAGUGGCGAACGGGUGAGUAACACGUGGCUGAUCUGCCCUGCACUUCGGGAUAAGCCUGGGAAACUGGGUCUAAUACCGGAUAGGACCACUGCCUGCAUGGGUGGUGGUGGAAAGCUUUUGCGGUGUGGGAUGGGCCCGCGGCCUAUCAGCUUGUUGGUGGGGUGAUGGCCUACCAAGGCGACGACGGGUAGCCGGCCUGAGAGGGUGACCGGCAACAGUGGGACUGAGAUACGGCCCAGGCUCCUACGGGAGGCAGCAGUGGGGAAUAUUGCACAAUGGGCGCAAGCCUGAUGCAGCGACGCCGCGUGAGGGAUGACGGCCUUCGGGUUGUAAACCUCUUUCAGCACCGACGAAGCGCAAGUGACGGUAGGUGCGGAAGAAGGACCGGCCAACUACGUGCCAGCCGCCGCGGUAA